UUGGAGGGCAAGUCUGGUGCCAGCAGCCGCGGUAAUUCCAGCUCCAAUAGCGUAUAUUAAAGUUGUUGCAGUUAAAAAGCUCGUAGUUGAAUUUCGGGAUCGGAGUGUCGGUCGUGCCUCGGUACGCACUGGUAUUAUUGGUUCCUACCUUCUGAAGAACCGCGAUGUCAUUAAUUUGGUGUCGUGGGGAAUCAGGACUGUUACUUUGAAAAAAUUAGAGUGUUUAAAGCAGGCUUACGCUUGAAUACAUUAGCAUGGAAUAAUGAAAUAGGACGUUUGAUUCUAUUUUGUUGGUUUCUAGGAUUGACGUAAUGAUUAAUAGGGAUAGUUGGGGGCAUUAGUAUUCAAUUGUCAGAGGUGAAAUUCUUGGAUUUAUUGAAGACUAACUACUGCGAAAGCAUUUGCCAAGGAUGUUUUCAUUAAUCAAGAACGAAAGUUAGGGGAUCGAAGACGAUCAGAUACCGUCGUAGUCUUAACCAUAAACUAUGCCGACUAGGGAUCGGAUGAUGUUAAUUUUUUAAUGACUCAUUCGGCGCCUUACGGGAAACCAAAGUGUUUGGGUUC
rnacentral:rRNA from 1 species